GGAGGUGGCAACGACUCCCCGGGUAGGUCGCCCCCAGUCAGGGGUCAUACUGCUCACUGUCCCGGGUCGCUUAGGGAGUUCGUGGAGCGGGAGGUGAUCGACUUCGCCCGACGGAAUCCAGGGGUCGUAAUAUAUGUAAACUCGCGUCCGUGCUGCGUGCCCAGAGUAGUGGCCGAAUACCGAUGCGGCUGAGUUCCUCGGCGAAGGAGCAGGGCCCUGCUGGUACUCCAUUGUUGCUCUGCCUCAGAAGCACAUAGCUAUUGCCAUUCAUCCUCCGCAGCCGGCUGGGCAGUGCCACCAAGCCAUUGGACACUGGCCUGAGACUGUCUGCAGUUGCACCGCAGAUCCUCCUGCCCGGCUGGCCCGACCCAAUAUCAGUUCAGUCAUCCGAUCUUCCUUGGGGAAAUACCCAUUACCGUCCUGAACCCUUGUCAUCCACUACUUGGCUAUAAGCUCCAGAAGUGACAAGACACUUCACAUCUUAAAUAUGUUUCCUAGUUUAUAAUUCAUUUGGGCAGUAAAUGUUUGUUGAGCACUUA
rnacentral:lncRNA from 1 species